rnacentral:piRNA from 1 species
UGGUCUGUGCUUCUUCCCAGACAUGGGAGC